AAAACGACUCUCGGCAACGGAUAUCUCGGCUCUCGCAUCGAUGAAGAACGCAGCGAAAUGCGAUACUUGGUGUGAAUUGCAGAAUCCCGCGAACCAUCGAGUCUUUGAACGCAAGUUGCGCCCGAAGCCUUUCGGCCGAGGGCACGUCUGCCUGGGUGUC
rnacentral:rRNA from 1 species